rnacentral:tRNA from 1 species
GCCGGAAUUGCUCAGUUGGGAGAGCGUUAGACUGAAGUUGUUUCCGCAACAGUCAUCUAAAGGCCAACGGUUCAAUCCCGGGUUCCGGAA